AAAUCCUACGAGAAAAAAAUGUAAUUCAAAUUGGCUUGGAGCUGCGAGCUGUCAGCUAGAUUGAAGGCUGGAUUAUAAACCAAGACUAAUGAAGGCCCCGCAACUCUACAGAGUCAGGGAUGGCGUCCAAGAGCAUCUCUGCGAGGUCCUACAGGGGAGCCUGGUUGCAGCAGAAGACCGAGCAUUUUGGAGAUGCCAGUACUGUGGGAUGACCACCAAGAACAGCAGCAGCCGUGGAGCGGAGCCAGCCAGAGUCUAGAAGACAAGCUGUGUGUGCUGCAGAGGGCGGAGCUGGAGAAGUGACUCAAGCCCCUUGGAGAUGCCCAAAAGAUCGGACAAAGGUAAUCUGUGAGGUGUUCCAGGAGCCCUUCCACUGCGCCGUUAACGGAUUCAUCCUGAAACAGUGUCACUGUUCAUCAUCCUGUUACACCCUGUGGCAGUCUUAGGACUUCAAUGCUCUAAUGAAAUUGUUUGGGUCAUAUGGUAUGAGGGGCAUGGACGUGCCACAUCUGCAUAGAAACUCGAGGACAAUUCGCAGGAUUUGCAAGGACUUGUGAUCAAACUCCGGUCAUGAGGCUUGGCAACAGGAAUCUCCAUCCACUAAGCCAACUUGCUGACCCCCUCACAUUUUUAAAAGAUCUCCGGGGAGAAUGCCUGGUUGCCGCGGGCUCUGCAGGUCUGUAGAUGAAUUGCCAAGGCCAGGGGUGUGGCACCGUGUUACCUGGAUGCUGACAGGAAGAGGACACUGUUUGCCAGGGGGAAUUGUUUGCGUGACACGGGACCUCACGACUCAGACCUUGUGUAAUCUUGCUUAAGUGUCCAUUACUGAGACUCUAGUCUUGCUUUCUCCAGAAGAAAUAAACCCUUCAUGGAUACAGUCUCUGAAACAAGGAAACAUUGGGCCCUGUCCUGCCAAUGUUUGCCAAGGAAGAGUGGGAAAGAGAGAGGAAAAAAGCAAUCCUACCUUCUACGUGCCUGAGAAGAGAGCAGAAGGGCAGUGUUCCGUGGGAUAAGGGACUCAGGCCUCCAUUGCUGGGACUACGUGGACACAGAGGAGGGGCAUGUCUGGUUCAAGCUCCUCCUCCUCUACAGCAGCUGGGUUUUGUGUAGGAAGUAAACAUCAGAGUUUUAGCUUUAAGGAAUCUCACCGGUCCUUCUUCUAUCUCUGACUUCCCCAGUCUGCAGAAGUCCAGAAGAAAAGAGAGACCAGGAGGUAGACUGGUUGUCCAGAGUAAAGUGACUGAAUGCUGAGACCCUAUUCUUCUGCCUUAACUGGUCCCUGCUUCUUCCAUGGCAGUGAGUGACCUGCCAGUAAGGGGUGAUGGUUAGUUUUAAUUGUCAACUUGACAUAGUCUAGAAUCACUUGGGAAGAGUGUUUCAGUGAGAGGUUGUCUAGACUGGGUUGUCCUGUGGGUAUGUCUGUGGAGGAUUAUCUUGGUUGUAUUAAUUGAGGUGGAAAGACCUAUCCACUGUGGGCAGCACAAUUCCCUAGGCAGGGGGUCCUGAACUCUGUAAGAGUGGAGAAAGUGAGUCCAGUCCUAGUGUGUAUGCCUUCACUUUCUCUCUGUUCUUGACUGUGGGUGUGACUAGCUGCUUCAAGUUCCUGGUGACUUAAUUUCCCGAAAAUAAUGGACCAAAAGCCCUUUCACCCUUAAGUUGCUUCUGUCAGGAUAUUUUGUUUUUCAUGGCAACAGGAAAUAAAACUAAGACAAGAAUCAAGGUUUAAAGGGCUGGGUCAGUAUCCUGAACUUGUGACAGG